AUUGAACGCUGGCGGCAGGCCUAACACAUGCAAGUCGAGCGGAUGAAGGGAGCUUGCUCCUGGAUUCAGCGGCGGACGGGUGAGUAAUGCCUAGGAAUCUGCCUGGUAGUGGGGGAUAACGUCCGGAAACGGGCGCUAAUACCGCAUACGUCCUGAGGGAGAAAGUGGGGGAUCUUCGGACCUCACGCUAUCAGAUGAGCCUAGGUCGGAUUAGCUAGUUGGUGGGGUAAAGGCCUACCAAGGCGACGAUCCGUAACUGGUCUGAGAGGAUGAUCAGUCACACUGGAACUGAGACACGGUCCAGGCUCCUACGGGAGGCAGCAGUGGGGAAUAGUGGACAAUGGGCGAAAGCCUGAUCCAGCCAUGCCGCGUGUGUGAAGAAGGGCUUCGGAUUGUAAAGCACUUUAAGUUGGGAGGAAGGGCAGUAAGUUAAUACCUUGCUGUUUUGACGUUACCAACAGAAUAAGCACCGGCUAACUUCGU
rnacentral:rRNA from 1 species